AAAAGAGUGGUUAGUUGGUUGAGAAGAGUUUUGGCGUUUGUUGGUUGUUCUGUGAAGAAGAAGUUGUCAGUGUUGUGAGGAGCUGCCUGUGAGACAUCAUCGAGAAGCUCUGAACUACAUGGGGAAUGACUCGGCAAGUGAGUGUUUUGAAUGAGCAGCAGUGAGUGUAUUCUGAGAAUUGUUUUUUUCCACAUCAGCACCCUUUUAAGAAAGAUGAACUAUUUCAAUUCAGACGGAUUAAAGGAGUGAAGGAGAGCGAAUAAAAAGAGAACGUCUUCCCAUCUUCUUUGUUAGAUGACCUUGUGCCAUGCUCUAUAAUAAGAAGAAUAGCAAGACACAAUUCCACAGAGAUAUAGCUUGAGAAGUUAAGCAGUUUGAGACCUUUCAGAUUGUUUUAUUUUCCCCUGAAAUUGAUUUUGCAAUCAGAAAUGUCUUUGUUGUAAUCUUGUUUAUUUUUGAAAAAUGUACAUGGAAUCCUAUUUUCCUGAAUAUGGUGGAAAAUAAGAAACAGGAGACACAUCUUUCAUCUGAUAACAUUUUACUCUGAAUUCUCUUGUUUGGAUUGCUCUCUGACUUAAUUCUCUCGCUGUUUCCUGUGUUUUCCUUCUGGUGUACGCACAUGCACACAUAGUAAUUUAAACUCUGGUCACCUAUUAACACUUAAUCUGAACUUAGAACACAAGUCCUAUGAGGAGCAACAGAGGGCUUUGGGCUUGUCUAGUUUGGAGUGAAGGAGGCUGAGAGGUGACCUCAUUGCUCUCUGGAGCAGCUUCCUGCAGAGGGGAAGUGGAGAGGGAUGUUCUGAUCACAUCUCCCUCUGACCCACUGACAGGACAGAAAGGAAUAGUUUCAGCCUGCACCACAGGAGGUUCAGACUGGAUUAGGAAGCCUUUCCUCAUAAGAGGGAGAUCAAACACUGGAACAGGCUUCCUAGAGAAGUGGUCCAUGCCCCAAGCAGUCAGUGUUUAAGAGGCAUUUGGACAAUGCCCUUAAUAGCAUGCUUUAAGUUCUGGUCAGUCCUGACCUGGUCAGUCUGCUGGACUGGAUGAUUAUCCUAUUCCAGGGUUCUAUUGCCCUCUGCCAUUAGUAAAAGAGUCAGAAAUUGUACUGCAUCCUUGUUGCGCUUAAAUGAAAUCAUGGCCUUGCUAGCCACAUAAGCUUUCUAAAAUCUCUGGUCCUGUAGCACCUCAAGACCUAAGAAUUAUAAGCCAUUCAGCUUCCUGCAUAACAGCUGAAUUGUGACAAAACAUUAAAUUUAAGCUUUUCAAUUGAGAUAUUUGCCUUCCUUUAUGUUUUUAUGGCACUUGGGGCAACCAACAAGAUCAAGACUUGAGUGUGUACAAUGCUGAUUAAUAACAAGUUAUGUUGUGCCAAGUUUCAGAAAGAAAAGACUCUCACAGGCAAAAAUGAGAUAUUAAACAUGAAAUAAAAAGACGUGAGAGUACUCUAACUAAAAAUUCAGAACCUUUUUGAAAAACUUUAACUUCAUUUUUAGCAUUAUUUGGAAAUUUUUUGCUUUGGUUUGUAGCAAUAGAUGAACGCUGUCAUAAAUAUAGAGGAACUGAUUUUUAAAAAGAAAUCUUAUAAAUGGCCACAGGCAAUUUCAGAAGUAUAAUUCCCAUCUGUUUUGAUGAAUAACAUCUUAGCAGAUUUUCAGUUGCCAAGUAUUUUUAAUGCUAUUCUGAAAUUGGAUAGAAGUUAGAUUGAGUUGAUUCUUCACUCAGAAUAAAAUUACAAAUCUAUAAGCACAUUUUAGAUCUGCUAGCUCAAAUAAUUAGGUGUCACAAGGCAAAACACAAGUCAGUGAGGAAGCUGAGUUUUAUGGAUCAGAUGUGUUCAUAACCUCUAUGGGGGCAAUCCACUUGACUGAACACUGCAUGUGAAUAAGAUCCAUUAGAAACACUUCCAGAUACUGUAAAUAUAUUUUGGAAUUUUUAAAGGUAGAUAAUAUUGAUGUUACAUGUCUUAACAUGACAUGAAAUGUCUAAUACCAUUUGCAGAAUUGCUUGCAUUAUACAGAUACAGCUUAUAUUGGUUCCAAAGUUCAACCAUACCACCUCUUACAUACUGAUUUCCAAAUUUAAGAGCCCUGUUUAUAUUUGUCACUGACAUCUUGAAUUGUCAGAAUGCCAGCUGAAGCCAUGUAUGUAUUCAUGCUUGAUUGGAGGAGAUAAUGGCAGAGAGUCUGAGCUCUAGAAGGAAAGAGGAAGGUACAGAAGACUGCCUUGGCUCUGCUUGGCAAGUAUGAUACCCCAGCAGGGACUCCUGGAUAAGACAUUAAUGUCAUUAGGGUUAUGUAUGCAUAUCUUGACAAAUAUUACUUUGUGCAUACAUCUUACAGAUUGAAAACAUGUAGGAAGAACUGAAAUUAGUUUUCAGAUAUUAUUUGGGGUAAUUUGAAUUAAUUUCCAACCCUCUCUGUAAUUAAAAAUGAGAAAUGAGGAAAACUACUAAGCAUAACUUUUGAGAAAUUAAAAAAUUAUAAGGUGCAUAUACAUGUCUUUUGCUGGAAUGUCCAGUUUUACCCACAAAGUGGCAGGAGAAAUCUUUAAUGUGCUUAACUUGAGAACAUGAAGUUACAUGCCUGUAUUUUUCUAGAAUUGUGACUUUUUGAAUACUCUCAUUUGAUACAGAUCAAUUUAGAGACACUACAAAGAUGAUACACUAGUAUGGUAGAUUAGCCAUGGCUAACAAUCUCCUACCCUGCUGCUCUCUCCCUGCUCCUCCUCAGUGGGACAGGAUUAGAAAAUAAGAAGAAAACAACCCAUGGGUUAAGAUGAGGGCAAGGAGAUUGCUUACCAAUGACUGUUGUUGGCAAAACAGACUUGACUGAGAGAAAAUUAGUUAAUAUUAACAAUUAAAAUAGAGUGGGAUGAUAAGAAAAUUAAACAAAAACUAAAGCACUUUUCCCCCACCCUCAUCCCCUCUUUUCUCAGGCUCCACAUCAUUCUUUCAUUCCCAACUUGCUCCUGCCCCCAGACCGGUGCAGAAAGAAUGGGGAUUGCACCCAGGCCAUAAGAGCUCCUCUUUCUCACACCUUCCUCCACUUCGAUUUGCUCUGCUCCAGCAUCUGCCUUUCCAUGGACUGCAGUCCUUCAGGGUAAACAUGAUUUUCCAUGGACUCUUCGGGGGCUGCAGACUUUAAAGGGAAUAGGAUCUGAGGCUAAUAGCUGUGCAAGGGUUUGAAGAUAAAAACUCUGAUAUAACUUUUUAUGUGAGCAAAGCUACAGAUGGUGGUGCCAUUUUGUGGCCAUCUCCGUGGGUCUAGUUUUCAAGAGGGAUAUAAAUUAAUGGGGGUGGGAGAAUUUUAACACAUUGACUCACUAGUAUAGUUGGCAUUUCUUAUGGUGCUAUGGUUUUAUUUGCAUACAUGAAGUUUGUUCAUUUGUUUUAAAUAAAUGAAGACAGAAAUGAUGGGCAAUGAAUGACUGUCUAAAUCUAGUCUUGGGUAGACCUGUAACGAGGAAGUGUAUUAUGGAAACCCAGGAGGAAAGACAUUUCCACCUCUGAGAAAAGAAAAUAUGUUGAAAAUUGGAAAAGGACUUACAUAAAUGCCCAUGAGUAAACAAUUAUUCACAGUGUCUAAAGAUGGCCAAUGGAAGCACAUGUUCACUGGAAGAGGAUGUUUCUGCAAGAUCAGCAAUGGCCAUUUGUUCAGUGUGGGAUGGUUGUGAUUAUGCUGCUAUGUUGUCUAUUGACUUAGAAAAAGUCAGUUUGGAGAAGUAUUUUUACCAGUAAUAUGGUGGGACAUAAGUGCCUAAGGAUCAGAAUCAGACUGAGAUUUCUUUAGCUACAAGGAGAGAUUGUCUUUGUUGCUUGUCCAUUCAUUUCUUGUAAUAUGUGAUAGUGCCUCAUGAAAUCCAUGCAAUGGCCCUUGUGCAAUAUCAGUGUUAUCCUCCCUUUCUUCUUUCAGAGUAUGCAGCCAUAAUGUUGCCCCCACUGGGCA